AUUAACAAUAUAAUCAUACAUCAUCUGACUCCUGUUCUUAAUGUGUUAUUUUACAGCUUACAGACCAGAACCUGUGUUUUAACUUCUGGCUUGAGCAAGAUAUUGAGGUCCAAGAAACAAAACCAGCUACCAUCCGGUUGUACGAUUAUUAUGAACUAGAACAAGAAGUUGUAACCUCCUACUCCAUCGAUGAGAACUGUGAAAAGCUUCCUCCUCUUCCAUGAGUUUGUAAUACCAGUAGAUGAACAAAGCUUGUUGCAGAGUUGUGUGUUUUUAUUAAGAUCUCUUUGAUCCUUCUUAAAUUGGGUGAAGAAGCAAUAACUUUCUGAAGAAUUCAUUAUCUUUCAUAAAAAGUAAUGUAAUGAUUUUAUUAACAUGUAAUAGUUUUAGGUUUGAUAACUUUAAUGCACUGCACCUGCUUUCUGAAAGAAAAGAGAUGUUUUGGCUUCUACACUGAGGUCUUCAGCUUGUCAUGAACUUUGUAUUGAAGCUGAAACAUCGUCUCUUUUU